rnacentral:tRNA from 1 species
GAAGUUUAGCUCAGCUGGGAGAGCGUCUGCCUUACAAGCAGAGGGUCGGGGGUUCGAGCCCCUCAACUUCC